rnacentral:rRNA from 1 species
AUACGUAGGUCCCGAACGUUGCGCGAAAUUACUGGGCGUAAAGGGUCCGUAGGCGGUCUGGUAAGUGGAAGGUGAAAGCCUGGGGCUCAACUCCAGAAUUGCCUUCCAAACUGACGGACUUGAGGCAGGGAGAGGUCGGCGGAAUUCCCGGUGUAGUGGUGAAAUGCGUAGAUAUCGGGAGGAACACCAGUGGCGAAGGCGGCCGACUGGAACUGUCCUGACGCUGAGGGACGAAAGCCAGGGGAGCGAACCGGAGUAGAAACCCUAGUAGUCC